rnacentral:lncRNA from 1 species
AGCUCGGAUACAUUAAAAACUACCUCUGAUACAUUAUAAAAUAAAUCAAUGCAUAAUAUGUACCUUGUAUACAUUAAAUACUGACUUUGAUACAUUAAUAUGUAGCUCGAUUACAUUAAAGUAAUAAGAGAUUUUAGAGGUUUUUAGAAAUAUAAGGGGAUAUCGAAAAUAAGGGAAACAUAAAAUGCAUAUUUCUGUAACUUUUCCUAAAAUUUUUGGAUUGGGGCAAAAUUAAACCUAAAAUUUUAAACGAUUUGGGGCAAAAUUUGGACUAAAUUUAAAGGUAGCUGAAGAAAACUAUAGCCUAAACUAACAGAGGUACGGACUAAUUUAUUUCGAGUCAAUAUGUAUGGAUGAAUUAGUUUGGGCUGAAUUGUGAAGUUGUAAUUAUUUUAUGUUUUGUGGUCCAUAUAUGUAAAAUAUGUAUAGAAAAAGCUCAAAUAAGCCCAAAGCAGAGUUCAAACAAGUUAAACAAAGUUUGGUCGAUCCAUAAAGACAUUUGCCAACUCUAUAAAUUGAUCAUCUCAGUUAGGGCUUUCUAUUGUGAUCUUCGCUUUCUCUAUAUCAUAUCGCCUCAAGCGGCGAGACAUCUUUGAACAUGAUCUUCCAUUUUUUCUUGUUGCUUAUCAAUAUUUAACUUUUGAUGUCUUCACUGGUUCACUUUCUCAAAUCGCAAAAGGAAGUAUCCUCCUUUAUCACCUUUUACAUCUUGUUUCUUCCUUGUUUGUAAUCUCUUCCUCUUUUACAGAGUUAUACUCUUGAUGAUGGAUAUAAUGAAUUUCAAUGCGAUUUUAAUAAACAUAUCAAAUCGUGUUGUGAGAAGAAUUUGUUAAAAGUAGCGAUUUCAAGAUGUUUCUCAUCUCCUUCCAAUGAGAGUUUUUCACAGUCACAGAUUCAGUCUCUCAUUAACUUUUUGAGGUACGUAAUAUUUUUAAUUAAUAAUUUAUUCAGUUCAUGAAGACACGUAUAUUAGGAGUAUUACUAAUGUUGACAUUCAAUUUUGAUCAUUUUUUUUUCAAUUUAUAUUUUCGAGCUUCGAUAUUAAUAAUAAAUAUAAUUACCUUACUUUAACUGUCAAUUUAUUAUUUUUUUAAUUUUUACAAUUAUUAUUAAAAUUACAUAUUUUAUUAUCGGAUUCACUAUUAUCACUUGGCACCUUUUUUUGUUUUAAACAGUUGAUUGUUGUAAUUUUAUUUAAAAAAUCAUACUUUUUGAGUUAACUAUAGGUCUUUAAAUUGUAUUUUUAUUUUAUAUUAACGUAAAGUUAUGAUAUUAAUAUUUUUUAUGUAUUGAUUAUUAGUUUUUAUCAUUUAAUUCAUUGUAUUAGUUAUUAAGUUAGAAGCUCGAAUAACAUAAAAGAAAGAAGAGAAAAAGACCACAGAAAUUUGAUCAAGCCUCCAUAUGAGAUUAAACAUUUCAAUUCAUAAUUUUUGUCAUAAUCUAUAAAAAGAAAGGGUAACUCAAAUAUAGGCCUUAUUUCAUUUAUUUUACGCAUUACUUUCAAGAUCCAAAAAUCAAAUUCAAUCAUCUCUUUUCUUAAUGUAUCGAUUUUUCCUCUUUCAUUUUUGACCAAAACUUGAUAUUCAUUGUCACUAUCGACAAAGAACUUCUCUAUUUUUGUGCAUACAUUGAAUAGACCAUCAUUUUUCUCUUUGAUUGUCUGAGUUUUAAGAUUUGAUUCAUAAUUCAAGUGAUUGUUUUGUGUCUUCCAAUACCUCAUAAAUGUUGAGAAAGAAAUUAUAAUUCAUUCCUAUAAAUAUUGAUAUUUCCAUUCAUUUUUUUUUUUACAAACAAACCUCAUUCUGUGUGUUUUGCAAUAAAAAAGUGAAAUGUUUAUGAAAAAAUUGUUAUCGUAAGGAGUUUCGUUUUGAGAUUUAAUAUCGCGGCUAAAUAUUGAAAAUAUUUAUCUUUUUUUAUUUACUUCUCUUGCUAUCUCUUGUUACACCCGAGCAAAACGAAAAAGAAAAACAUGAGAAAAUCUUAGGUUUUCUUCAUGCAUUAUUUUUCUAAUUUUCUUCCUCUUUUAAAGGCAUUGAAGAAAGCCUUUUAAUUUUAUGAUUUUUUUAAAAAAUAAUUUUAUUUUUUAGUCAUAUUUUUUUUUAAUAAUAAGUAGGAUUACUCACACAUCUAAUCUAUAGGUUUUAUUUGACUUUCUUAGUAUCUACCUUUUUAUAGACAAGUGUAUCUCUCACUCUAUAUAUAUAUAUUCAAAAUCUUAUUCAUCCGCCGAAAUAAAUUUAAAUUUGUACUUUUUUCUUCUCUAGUUCAAUAAAGUAUUUUUGGUCAAUAUCCAACAACAAGAACAGACUCAUCAAGAUCAAAUGUGAAUAUCAAGCGAGUUGAUGUAUAAAGUUCAUGAUUAAGAAAAAACAAACACUAGUAUAUGGAAUAAAUACAAUCACGAUAUUAAGAAAAUACAAGUUUGAGAUUUUCUUGUAUACUUCACAUACUAGUUUUUGCUUCUUUUUUUAAUCAAAAACUUGUAUCUUCAAUUCUUUUGAUAUUUCACUUUGAUCUUGAUGAUCUUGUUUCUUUUGUAGAAAUUAGGCUAAAAACUCUAUUGAAUGAAACGAAGAAAAAGAUAAAAUAAAUUAAAUUAUUCAAAAUCUUAAUUCAUCUGCCAAAAUAAAUUCAAAUUUGAACUUUUUUUCUCUUUUGUUAGUUCAAUGAAGUUUUUAAGCCAAUAUCCAUAAACAAACUCAUCAAGAUCAAAUGUGAAUUUCAAGCGAGUUGAUGAAUAAAGUUCAUUAUAAAAAAGAAACAAACAGUAGUAUAUGAGAUAAAUACAAUUAUAGUAUUUAAAAGAUACAAGCUUAAGAUUUUCUUGUACAAUCCACAUACUAGUUUUUGUUUUUUCUUGAUCAAAACUUGAAUCUUCAAUUCUUUGAUAUUUCACUUUGAUCUUGAUGAUCUUGUUUCUCUUGUAGGAAUUAAUCUAAAAACUCCAUUGAAUGAAAAGGAAAAAAAUAAAAAUUUAAAUUAAUUGUGGUGCAUAAAUAGUUUUUUUGGUAUAUAUAUAUAUAUAUAUUUAUUGACUUGUCUAUGAAAAUGUGUAUUAUUUUAAAUUAAAAGUCAAAUCCAAUCAAAAUGAAUGUGACAACAACAAUUUUAAGCCUUCUAUUGUUGAACACAAUUUACUCCUAUCAAAUUGAAAAUUUUCAAUGUAUUAUUGCAUUUAAUCUUCGACUUUUAUGUUAACUAAAUUUGUUGUUCAAUUUAAUUUUUUCUUAAAACACGUUUUAGAAAGAUUUAAUAUUAUCCUAUAUAAUAAAAUUGAUUCCAACGCAUUUGGACCUUCUUCAGGCUCAAACGCCACACCUUUUUAUUAGAUAUUUUGAUAAAAGCAAUUUACACAGAGUUCAUAUAUAUGAUUAAACAUUCAAAAUGAUCGUCUGUCUCACUACUUCACUAAGUUGAACGUCAAACCUUUGAGAUUGAAAAUCAGUUUUUGAAUUUUGAAAGUGUUUGUUAAAUAUAUAAAAAAGAAAAUUUUAAAAUAAAUCAAAAAUCAAAAGUAGGUUUCCCCCUACUUUUUAUUUUUUGACUUAAAAGCCAUUUCAGUUUGACUUUUAAUUUUUGACUCAAAAGUUACUCUUUUAAGUCAAUUCAAAUGGGUUCUAAUUAUCUUGGAAGUUGGAUCAAAAGAGAUGGUCAUAUUAAUAAAAAAGUUUGGAUGAUUUCUAAAUAUUUUGAAGGUUCAUUAAUAUAUUGUUUUGAUUUUCAAUUAAUAUUAUUCUAUUUUUUUAAAUUUUAUUUUGAUUAAUUAUCUACUAACAUUGUUAUUGUGCGAAUGAAUAGAAAUGAAAAGUAUCACAUUUUUAUUUUUAUUUCUGUGUGUCUGUUUGUCAAUUUCUAAUUAAUAUUCUAAAAUUCUUAGUCACU